rnacentral:rRNA from 1 species
GUGGAUUAGAUACCCUGGUAGUCCACGCCGUAAACGAUGUCAACUAGCCGUAGGGAGCAUCUGGCUCUUUGUGGCGCAGCUAACGCGAUAAGUUGACCGCCUGGGGAGUACGGCCGCAAGGCUAAAACUCAAAUGAAUUGACGGGGGCCCGCACAAGCGGUGGAGCAUGUGGUUUAAUUCGAUGCAACGCGAAAAACCUUACCUGCCCUUGACAUGUCAGGAAUCUUUCAGAGAUGAGAGAGUGCCUUCGGGAACCUGAACACAGGUGCUGCACGGUCGUCGACAGCU